GACGAACGCUGGCGGCGUGCCUAAUACAUGCAAGUAGAACGCACAGUUUAUACCGUAGCUUGCUACACCAUAGACUGUGAGUUGCGAACGGGUGAGUAACGCGUAGGUAACCUGCCUGGUAGCGGGGGAUAACUAUUGGAAACGAUAGCUAAUACCGCAUAAUAUUAAUUAUUGCAUGAUAAUUAAUUGAAAGGUGCAAUUGCACCACUACCGGAUGGACCUGCGUUGUAUUAGCUAGUAGGUGAGGUAACGGCUCACCUAGGCGACGAUACAUAGCCGACCGGAGAGGGUGAUCGGCCACACUGGGACUGAGACACGGCCCAGACUCCUACGGGAGGAAGCAGUAGGGAAUCUUCGGCAAUGGCCGAAAGUCUGACCGAGCAACGCCGCGUGAGUGAAGAAGGUUUUCGGAUCGUAAAGCUCUGUUGUAAGAGAAGAACGGGUGUGAGAGUGGAAAGUUCACACUGUGACGGUAUCUUACCAGAAAGGGACGGCUAACUACGUG
rnacentral:rRNA from 1 species